rnacentral:tRNA from 1 species
AGCUAAAUGGCGCAGCGGAAGCGCGCCGGGCUCAUAACCCGGAGGACGCAGGAUCGAAACCUGCUUUAGCUA